rfam:Felis catus isolate Cinnamon breed Abyssinian chromosome D3, whole genome shotgun sequence.
GCCUGGGUGGCUUGGUCGGUUAAGCGUCUGACUUCGGCUCAGGUCAUGAUCUCGCGGUCCGUGAGUUCGAGCCCCGCGUCGGGCU